GCGGGUUGCAAAAUCUCAAAACGGGCAUUUGCUUAGAACCAGGCCAGAAGAAAAAGUUUAUACCAGCUUGUUCAACAUUUGUUUCUAGUUUCGUUGCGUCCAACUCGUACGUUGGGGGACCCUAAUUUUUUUAAUGUGGGUACCUCGAAACGAAAAACCAAGUUGUACUUGAGAGCAUUAGGAUCCAGAGAAAUAGGGGAUUCGAAGUCAACUGGAAUAAUUGUUGUAUUAUUGUUGGUUUGAGUCAUGUCAAUGGUCACAUUUUUGAACACUUGGGCCAGAGUUCGUGUUCGUAGGUCAUCUCCGUCGCUUAAGUCAAAAGGCUUCCAUUGCAUAUCUAGUCGAACUGAAAUUUUGUAUGACAACGAUUGCCCUACAAUUUUAAGUGUUAGCAUGACUUACGAGUUGACACAAUCUCCCUGAGAGUAUCUUGAAUGCAGCUGAAGGUUAUGAAGCAACUGUGUCACGGGUUCACGGCCAAUUUCUCCAGAAGCAGUAAUCAAUCCUCCUAAAUCUAUAAGUCUUGAAUCCAUCGACAAUAUUUGUCUCCCACGCCAAACUUCAAUUACAUUAGUUUUUUCGUCGUUCAUUGCUCACAAUUGACAGUGUUUCAGCCGAAAUAUUCAAGCCAAAACUGCUGCUAACUCAAAAUAUGUAUGUGUAGUUUCAAACAAUAAUGAUGUUUAUAUUUUUAUUGUAUCGUAUUAGUCAUGAGAAUUUUGUCUGCAAUAAACCACAAGAUGUGACGACGCCUCUAGAACCGCAAAUAAUACUGAUGACGCAACGUACAUUUCGCAAUAUCGUAGAGGAAAUGAAAUGUCCAUCUAAAUACACAGUCCA